UGGGGGAUAUUGCACAAUGGGCGAAAGCCUGAUGCAGCGACGCCGCGUGGGGGAUGAAGGCCUUCGGGUUGUAAACUUCUUUUGCUCUGAACAAGGCAUGCCUUUGGGGUGUGUUGAGUGUAGGGGUUGAUUAGCGCCGGCUAACUACGUGCCAGCAGCCGCGGUAAUACGUAGGGCGCGAGCGUUGUCCGGAAUUAUUGGGCGUAUAGGGUGCGCAGGCGGCUUUACAAGUUGGAUGUGAAAUAUUGUGGCUCAACCACAAACGUGCAUCCAAAACUGCAAAGCUUGGGUUAAGGAGAGGUAAGUGGAAUUCCUGGUGUAGCAGUGGAAUGCGUAGAUAUCAGGAGGAAUACCGGUGGCGAAGGCGACUUACUGGACUUAAACUGACGCUCAGGCACGAAAACGUGGGGAGCAAACAGG
rnacentral:rRNA from 1 species